rnacentral:rRNA from 1 species
UACGUAGGGGGCUAGCGUUGUCCGGAAUCAUUGGGCGUAAAGCGCGCGUAGGCGGCCCGGUAAGUCCGCUGUGAAAGUCAAAGGCUCAACCUUUGAAUGUCAGCGGAUACUGCCGGGCUAGAGUCCGGAAGAGGCGAGUGGAACUCCUGGUGUAGCGGUGGAAUGCGCAGAUAUCAGGAGGAACACCGGUGGCGAAGGCGGAUCUCUGGGCCUUACCUGACGCUCAGGUGCGAAAGCUAGGGGAGCGAACAGG